AUUGAACGCUGGCGGCGUGCCUAACACAUGCAAGUCGAGCGGUAACAGGUGUAGCAAUACAUGCUGACGAGCGGGCGGACGGGUGAGCAAUAUUUGGGAAUCUGCCUAUUAGGUGGGGGAGUAACCCGGGGAAACUCGGGCUAAUACCGCAUACGCUCUACGGAGGAAAGCCGGGGACCGCAAGGCCUGGCGCUAGUAGAUGAGCCCAAAUCGGAUUAGCUAGUUGGUGAGGAACGGCUCACCAAGGCGACGAUCCGUAGCUGGUUUGAGAGAACGACCAGGCCACACCGGAACUGAGACACGGUCCGGACUCCUACGGGAGGCAGCAGUGGGGAAUAUUGGACAAUGGGACGAAGCCUGAUCCAGCGACGCCGCGUGGGUGAAGAA
rnacentral:rRNA from 1 species